rnacentral:tRNA from 1 species
UGACCCAUGGUGUAAUGGUAGCACUACAGAUUUUGGUUCUGUCUGUCUAGGUUCGAAUCCUGGUGGGUCAACCA